CUAGAUGGAGCAACUUAAUUAAGACUAGCUACCUGUGUUUCAUAGAAGAUUACGUGUCCUCCUAACAGUGGCGUAGCUAAAGGGAUGAAUCUCAUGUCAGCACUGCCCAUUGUCACUGCCACCUCUCAUUUCACCAGAACUGUACAGAUGUUUUAUUGUUGCCAGUUUUUACUUUUCUGUCUUGUAGCUUAGACAGAUCCAGAUGUUAUUGGAGUUAUCACGAUAGAUGGCUGAUGUUGAAAUUUGCUCCAUAUCUGUGGUGAAGCGUUUGAAAGUUUUUUUCAGGGUGUGGCUUCUUGACUCAGUGAGAAGUACUCCAGAACUGGAGAAUGAGAACUAACAGUUGGUUAGUAACGGGUCAAGAAGGAUGUUCAGGAGCGUCUUCAAAACAGCAGUACAAACCGCUUUCCACAAUAUAGAGGACAAUCCUGGUCAUUUGAAAAAGUGGUAGAAAAUAUAUCGAGAUUGUCUGAUUCUUCAUCUACUUCACCUUUGAUGUUGAAACUGAGGAUCUUGAAUCUGAUGCUGGAAGUUUGUCCUGUCCGGUUUUUAUGCAGGUGCAGGAACGGUCCUCGUUGGUUUAAAGCUGUUUAGAGAAUAACGUCUAAUGUCUGUAGGACUAUUCGUAGUACUUGAUUCUACGCCGCAUGUCAUUAAGAGAUGAGAAUAAUUUACUCUGUUAUUAAC